UUGUUCAACCUUGCAGUGUUUCUCUUGCUGCACAGAUGUUUCAGAAUUUGCAGCCAGUGCUCUUAAAAGGAUUUGGUCAUUAGCACCAAAGCUAGAGUUUGGGAAGUAGCUAGACAUAUUUGGAUUGGUCUGGAAGGUGAAAAGAGGGUUUGAGGCUGGGAUUUGAGUGUAAAAAAUGGAACUUGGUGUUUGGUAGCUGGAAUUUGGAAGCUGAUGCUGAUGAAGAUAGUUUUGAUUAUUG
rnacentral:misc_RNA from 1 species